GACGUAGGGCGCGAGCGUUGUCCGGAAUCAUUGGGCGUAAAGAGCGUGUAGGCGGCCCGAUAAGUCCGCCGUGAAAGUCCAGGGCUCAACCCUGGAAUGCCGGUGGAAACUGUCGGGCUGGAGUCCGGAAGAGGCGAGUGGAAUUCCUGGUGUAGCGGUGAAAUGCGCAGAUAUCAGGAGGAACACCAAUGGCGAAGGCAGCUCGCUGGGACGGUACUGACGCUGAGACGCGAAAGCGUGGGGAGCAAACAGG
rnacentral:rRNA from 1 species